ACGGGAGGCAGCAGUGAGGAAUAUUGGUCAAUGGACGAGAGUCUGAACCAGCCAAGUAGCGUGCAGGAUGACGGCCCUAUGGGUUGUAAACUGCUUUUGUACGGGAAUAAAGUGACCUACGUGUAGGUUUUUGCAUGUACCGUAAGAAUAAGGACCGGCUAAUUCCGUGCCAGCAGCCGCGGUAAUACGGAAGGUCCGGGCGUUAUCCGGAUUUAUUGGGUUUAAAGGGAGCGUAGGCCGGACUUUAAGCGUGUUGUGAAAUGUAGUCGCUCAACGGGUGCACUGCAGCGCGAACUGGAGUCCUUGAGUGCGCGGGAAGUUGGCGGAAUUUGUGGUGUAGCGGUGAAAUGCUUAGAUAUCACGAAGAACUCCGAUUGCGAAGGCAGCUGACUGUAGCGUAACUGACGCUGAUGCUCGAAAGUGCGGGUAUCGAACAGGAUUAGAUACCCUGGUA
rnacentral:rRNA from 1 species